rnacentral:rRNA from 1 species
AGAGUUUGAUCCUGGCUCAGAGCGAACGCUGGCGGCGCGUUUUAAGCAUGCAAGUCGAACGAGAAGAUCGGGUUUGAAGCUUCGGUGGAUUUCUCGAUAUUUUAGUGGCGAACGGGUGAGUAACACGUGGGUAAUCUGCCCCAAAGAUCGGGAUAGCCUAUGGAAACAUGGAUUAAUACCGGAUGUUGUGGCAUUUACAUAAGUAAAUAUCAUUAAAGGUGGGGACCGUAAGGCCUGCCACUUUGGGAUGAGCCCGCGGCCCAUUAGCUUGUUGGUGGGGUAAAAGCCUAUCCAAGGCUAUGAUGGGUAGCCGGCCUGAGAGGGUGAACGGCCACAUUGGGACUGAGAUACGGCCCAGACUCCUACGGGAGGCAGCAGCUAAGAAUCUUCCGCAAUGGACGAAAGUCUGACGGAGCGACACCGCGUGAGUGAUGAAGGUGUUCAUGCAUUGUAAAACUCUUUCGAAAAGGAAGAAUAAGGAUGCUCUAAUAUAGUAUCUGAUGACGACCCUCUUUAAAGAAGCCCCGGCUAAUUACGUGCCAGCAGCCGCGGCAAUACGUAAGGGGUAAGCGUUGCUCGGAAUUACUGGGCGUAAAGGGCAUGUAGGCGGGAAAGUAAGUUGGGGGUGAAAUCUAGGGGCUCAACCUCUAAACUGCCUCCAAAACUGCUUUUCUUGAGUACGGGAGAGGAGAAUGGAAUUCCUAGUGUAGGGGUGAAAUCUGUAGAUAUUAGGAAGAACACCAGUGGCGAAGGCGAUUCUCUGGCUUAGUACUGACGCUAAAAUGCGAAAGCGUGGGGAGCGAACAGGAUUAGAUACCCUGGUAGUCCACGCCGUAAACGAUGUAUACUAGGCGUUGGUGGUAUCAAUCCCACCAGUGCCGCAGCUAACGCUUUAAGUAUACCGCCUGGGGAGUAUGCCCGCAAGGGUGAAACUCAAAGGAAUUGACGGGGGCCCGCACAAGCGGUGGAGCAUGUGGUUUAAUUCGAUGAUACGCGAAGAACCUUACCAGUGGCUUGACAUUCAGGAGACAGGUUGUGAAAGCAGCCCUUCUUCGGACCUGUUCACAGGUGCUGCAUGGCUGUCGUCAGCUCGUGUCGUGAGAUGUUGGGUUAAGUCCCGCAACGAGCGCAACCCUCGCCUUUAGUUGCCAUCAUUAAGUUGGGCACUCUAAAGGGACUGCCGGUGUCAAACCGGAGGAAGGUGGGGAUGACGUCAAGUCCUCAUGGCCUUUAUGACCAGGGCUACACACGUACUACAAUGGCAUGUACAAAGGGCAGCGAGCUCGCGAGAGUCAGCGAAUCCCAUAAAGCAUGUCUCAGUCCGGAUUGGAGUCUGCAACUCGACUCCAUGAAGUUGGAAUCGCUAGUAAUCGUGGAUCAGCAUGCCACGGUGAAUACGUUCCCGGGCCUUGUACACACCGCCCGUCACACCACGAAAGUCGGUUGUUCCAGAAGCGGUCGGGCUAACCCAAAAGGGGGGCAGGCACCCAAGGUAUGGCUGGUAAUUGGGGUGAAGUCGUAACAAGGUA